GUACUCUGCCAUCAGCCCCAGCCAGGUGGCCGGAGCAGGUGCAGGCGGCCAGCUGGGCCUCGCCAAGCCCACGGCGGCCGCGUUCCUGACCGUACAUGGGCAGCCGCUAUUAAUAACUCGAAUGCAUUAGCGCCCGGGCACUGGGUGACACCUCUAUAAAGCCAGGCCCGCCGGCCCCGGGUGGCUCCUUCAGCCCCUGAGACCUUUAACCCCCCUGUUGUGAGACAAAAAGACAAGACAGCCCUGAUCUGUGUUGUGAGUGUGACUUCUCGGCUCCAGCGUAGAUCCCUCAUCCCACCAGCACAGCUCCUUCAUCCUGCUGGCUUAGACUUUCUGGCUUCCACCCCUGACCCUUGGGUCUUUCCGACACGGAUCCGUAAAAGAAACUGGCGUGAGUCCUUCAUGUGGGCUCUGGACCUCCAGUUGGACUCGUGGAGGCAUUGUCACGAGCUCUGGGUUUUCAUCUGGAUUCAUGUGGGACAUUGCUGUGGGGUUUAGGCUCUUAACUAAAUAAUCUAUGUCUUUGGUGUUGUGGAUAGAUUUCCUGCAUUUUCCUGUGUUAACUCCCGAUGACCAUCAUAAAAUAAUAUUAUAACUCCA